GCGGCGACGGAAGACGGGGAGGCGGAGCGCGAGGCGGCGGCGGCGGCGACCGGGGACGUGAA
rnacentral:SRP_RNA from 1 species